CAAGAUCUCAGUUAGGGAUGCUGCUGUUGGCCAAUGCCCAGACCUCUUUCACCACAAAAUCAGAGACAGAAAACCAAGAGCUACCAAGACGUCAACAUUACAGUUCUUGUUGCCCAGCUACCCCUGGGAGAAGACGAUUCAGGCUGUGAUUGACCUGUCAUGAAUCACAUCGAGGGAAAUCUGACUUUCCUUCUCCCCCUAAAUGUUGGAAUGUUCAUCCUGCUUGACUUUGUGCAGGCUUUGUGCAUGCUGUCACAAUCACUGGGAGUUUCUGGAAAGAUGCCUGUUGUAUCUAGAACAGUUUCUUUGAAGCCAUCCACAAGCUCUGGCUCCUACAGCCUUUCUGUGAAGAUCCUGGAGACUUGUGGGAAAGAGUGUGAUAGGAGCAUUCCAUCUGGGGUUGAGAAUGCCACAGUUUCUUAUUCUCCAUAUGUUGACCAGUUGAGAGUAUUUGUGUGAAUUGCCAUCUACUGCGAGUUGAAGCUUCCCUGGGGAGAACUGAGAGAUGCACUGAUGGACACAUGCUAAUGGAGAAGUUAUCAUCAAUUUUACUCAGCUGUGAAUCCUAAGAGCUGCAAUUGCAAUUGCCUGAACAAAUAUGUCCAAUGGCACAACAGUGGCAUGAAUGUUAGGUAACUAUAGAGGUUGGAAGAGGACAUCAGAUCCCCUGUAGCUCCAAUUGCUGGCAGUUGUCAGCUAACCAUCAUGGAUGCUGGGAACAAAUCAGCAAUUUGAACCAUGGAGUUAUGUCUUCAACCUAUGACCACACAUUUUGAAAGAAUGAAUACCAGCUGCAAACAGCCCAGGAACCGAAUACUGACAGAGCUGCUUCUUCAAGAAAAUGGGAGAUGGGGCUACAUUAUGCAGCUUCUAAAGACAUGUUAUAUAUAAGCCAGACAUCUAGGAGUUUGUUCUCAUAGAGAAGAAAGGAUUACAACUUGACUGAGCUGGAGAAUUUAAAGCAACUGGCCACUAACAUGAAAAUACCUCUUCAAUAUGAAAGAUUUUACUUCAUCUUAUAAUAUUUUAUUUUGUCAUGUUUGGUUGUUAUCUCUUAGAAGCCUGUUCUUUCCUAAUGAGAAACAGAAAAGGAGUGGAUCCAGAGAGGAGGGAAGGUGGAGAGGAACCAGGGGGAGUGGUGUGAAGGGAAGCUAUAAUCAGAAUAUAUAUAUGAGAAAGAAUCUAAUUUCAAUUAAAAAAAAAACCUCAGGUACAAAUAGACAUUCAGACAGAUAAAUUUUUUAAAAUUCAUGUUUCCUUGAUUAUCAUAUAUCAAGUUCUUAAAAGUACAGUUUCAAAAUGUGUAAUAAUUCCUCUCUAAUUGGGUUAUCAAUGUUAAGAAUUUAAGCCUAGUGU